GGCGAGUGGGGGCGGGCGGGGGUGAGGUUCAACGGCCUGGUUGGAGGAUCCGCUUUCUCAGGGCAGCACCUCCUCUACAGACGAGACUUGUCGUUCUUUUCGGAACUCAACACUGAAUUCAACCAUUUUAGAAGUAUGACUCCAGGACAACAUCUCAGACACAGCCAUCCAACUCGAAGGACCAACCUAUUAUCAUGUGGAUAGGAAUGCCGUGCCCUCUGAUGUUGUAUGACCUGUCGGUGUUUCCAGUAUUUUCUGAUUUUAUUUCAAAUUUGAACAUACAACAGUACAACAUGACGGGAGGAGAAGAUGGCGGUGCGACGCAGUGCACGCGGCCUCUCCGGUGAAAUGAUAUCGUAUUUGUUAAAUAGGGGGCCGUGCACAAUUCUGAUUUGAUGGAGACAGACGCGAGAAGCACGGAGGAAAAUCUGGAGAAACUUCUGAAAUGCCCGGUUCACUGCCGCUGCUACUAUGCAAUCGAGAAUCUCCGCCGGGUAGGCCCCAAAUCCUUGGCUUUGCCUGUUGCUGACGGCUGGGACUGGGGUCGAAGCGCUCGGCAGAGAUGGUGCUCGGUGCUCGGUGUUAGAGGGCUGGUCAGAGGCUCAAAGUUUUCGGACAACUCAGAGUCAGACUGUGGUCAGGUGCUUCCAGGAUGCUGCAUCGGCAAGUUUGCGGCGCUGAAAGGCUCAUGGCAGGAAGAGUUUUCUUUCUUCUCCCGUCUGCGUGAGAUCAUGGGACUUUUGAGAGACUUUGAACUUUUUUUACCGUGCCCAUGGCCUGUUCAUCAAGUUACGGUAUUGCUUGCACUGUUGUAACUAUAUGUUAUAAUUAUGUGGUUUUUGUCAGUUUUUCAGUCUUGGUCUGUCUUGUGUUUCUGUGAUAUCACACCGGAGGAACGUUGUAUCAUUCCUUAAUGCAUGCAUUACUAAAUGACAAUAAAAGAGGACUGCGUGUCCUCAUAAUCCAUAA